UUGAGGCUUUGUCGCUCAUCUGGGAUAUCCUCCCUUCAAAAUGGCUUCUGGAUUCCCAAAAAAGACACCGACACCUCGUCCUUGGUCCAGGGAAAUGCUGAAGUCUUUUACUCUGCGUCCCUCUAAGUCCCUGUGGGAAAAGUUUUUCAGCAUGAAGAAGAAGAUCGAAGCCAGGAGGAGUAUUCUGCCCAGCAUUAACCCAGUUCUAGACAAGAGUGAGCCUCAUCAGAAGCUGUCGUCAGUUCCCCUGAAGCAGAACUUGUUUCAGAUUUCCCCACCAGAGGUGGUAUUUCAGAACUUUGUCACCCAUGAGGUCUCUGAAAUGGUG